rnacentral:rRNA from 1 species
GACUACUGGGGUAUCUAAUCCUGUUUGCUCCCCACGCUUUCGCGCCUCAGCGUCAGAAAAGGACCAGAUAGCCGCCUUCGCCACUGGUGUUCUUCCUAAUAUCUACGAAUUUCACCUCUACACUAGGAAUUCCGCUAUCCUCUUCCUUUCUCUAGCUAUCCAGUAUCAAGUGCUAUUCCCGGGUUGAGCCCAGGGCUUUCACACCUAACUCGGAUAACCGCCUACGCGCCCUUUACGCCCAGUAAUUCCGAACAACGCUCGCACCCUUCGUAUUACCGCGGCUGCUGGCACGAAGUUAGCCGGUGCUUAUUCUGCGGGUACCGUCAUCAUCGUCCCCGCCAAAAGAGCUUUACAACCCGAAGGCCUUCUUCACUCACGCGGCAUGGCUGGAUCAGGGUUGCCCCCAUUGUCCAAUAUUCCCCACUGCAGCCUCCCGUAGG